UACGGAGGGUGCUAGCGUUGUUCGGAAUUACUGGGCGUAAAGCGCGUGUAGGCGGCCCGCUAAGUCUGAUGUGAAAGCCCGGGGCUCACCCCCGGAAGUGCAUUGGAGACUGGCGGGCUCGAGUCCCGGAGAGGAGGGUGGAAUUCCUGGUGUAGCGGUGAAAUGCGUAGAUAUCAGGAGGAACACCGGUGGCGAAGGCGGGUCUCUGGGCCGUAACUGACGCUGAGGAGCGAAAGCGUGGGGAGCGAACAGG
rnacentral:rRNA from 1 species